rnacentral:lncRNA from 1 species
ACAGUGUUAUAGGACACUCAACUGAUUAUGCCACCCAGGCACCCCACAAGUUCUUCAUAUUAGCUGGAGAAGAUUACAGGGAAGAGGCGUGCUAUGUUCCAAUGUGGAAUGAAGUUUGCUGGGGUCUCUCCGAAGGACCUGAAUUUAUAUUUGGAACUGAUAAAGAUCCUGAGCAGUGGGAAAUGUCCACAAAGUAGUUGCCAGGUAAUAUGUCAGUUUUGCAUUUUCUUUUAUUUUUGUGUGAUCAUAUUCACCAGGUUAUAA